UAGGAUGUGGUGUAAUAGGAGCACAAAGGGUUUUGAGUUCUUUGGUAUAGGUUCGAGUCCUGUUGUCCUAG
rfam:Sarcophilus harrisii ctg7180001490769, whole genome shotgun sequence.